UCCUGAGGUAGUUCCGGUAAUAGAGCAGAGCGGUGACCGUUGACCUGGAAGAGAUUUCUUCCAGCCGGUUCCACAUUACUAUGUAUCCAGUUAGACAUGGAACGUUCUGGCUUCAUGCUCAUCACCUGUUGCUAUGGUGAGCCUGUUGGUGAAGAAGAUACAAGCUCCCAGCUACUCCUCUAGUGCCAUUCCUGCCUACCUGCUGCCGUGCUUCCUGCCAUCAUGAUUGUGGAUUCACCCUUUGAAACUCUAAGCAGGCCACCAGAAGACAUCUGGCACGAUGGAUAGGUGUGAGUGAAGCCAGAGUUAAGAAUUGGCUUAAGGGAAGACAAGAACCAUAUCGGAGGCAGCAGAAGCUAUAAAUGCUCCGACGUGCCUCUGAAGACUAUGCAGGAGAACUAGAGAACCAUCCGUGUGCCGGAGCUGGAUAGUGACAAGUUGUUGCUGCCACCUACGGUUUUAUGUCCGCAGCAUCUGUAUUUCUAAUAAAGAAGUGAAGUCUCUGUA